CCUACGGGAUGCUGCAGUGAGGAAUCUUGGUCAAUGGACGAGAGUCUGAACCAGCCAAGUAGCGUGAAGGAUGACUGCCCUAUGGGUUGUAAACUUCUUUUAUAUGGGAAUAAAAUGUUCCACGUGUGGGAUUUUGUAUGUACCAUAUGAAUAAGGAUCGGCUAACUCCGUGCCAGCAGCCGCGGUAAUACGGAGGAUCCGAGCGUUAUCCGGAUUUAUUGGGUUUAAAGGGAGCGUAGGUGGAUUGUUAAGUCAGUUGUGAAAGUUUGCGGCUCAACCGUAAAAUUGCAGUUGAAACUGGCAGUCUUGAGUACAGUAGAGGUGGGCGGAAUUCGUGGUGUAGCGGUGAAAUGCUUAGAUAUCACGAAGAACUCCGAUUGCGAAGGCAGUUCACUGGACUGCAACUGACACUGAGGCUCGAAAGUGUGGGUAUCAAACAGGAUUAGAUACCCUGGUAGUC
rnacentral:rRNA from 1 species